AUGCACUGCUCGGCUUCUCCUGUGCGCCUGCGCGCGGGCGGAACGCAGUGGUCUGUGGUGUCGCUGCGACAGAAGGUUGUCGCCGGUGGAUCCCCUUGAGGCGAAACAGCUUUGUCCUGAUUUCUUGGUUUUGUGCGACACUAUAGGCUACAGAAACUAUAGAACUUACGAUUUGCACCCUUUGAGGUGGGGUUGCGGGGAAGGAGUGAAGGGGGUGCAGAGGCUGGGGACUUGUACGGGGCAGAACGCGCAUACGCGGGGCGGAGUCUCGGAGGACGGGGACAGAGUGGGCCCGUGUUGGGGCGGGGAUAGUGGUGCGUGUGCACAGGUGAACGUGGAGAGAGAGUUCCGAUGGUGGGUGCAAUUGAGCCCCCCCCCCCCAGCAGACCUUGCACUAUCCUCUGGACCUGGGGUGGAGCUCGAGGGUGGAGGACGGUGGGUGAGACAGGUCUUGAUGGGAUCCCAAGAUGCUGGAGACCCCAAACUGAGGGGUCCAAAGGCUUCCCUGGCCCGCCUUUCUCGAAUCUCCGUCAGAACCUGAAUCUUCCCUCACAGUUCCCAGAUGGAUGAGUGUUUCUCCCUGUGAGGACCCUGGCAGGGCUUCCCAGUGCCAUCACGAUAAAGCCACCUUCCUCAGACUGUACUGGAGCCCUGCCCACCUCCACCUCAUCAUGCCUUGCUCUCUGUAGGGUCAUUAAAACAAAUGAUGCCUGGUAGAGGGGACAGUGGUCUGGCCCGUCCCUGCCAGGUCUCCGUCAUUCUGUGGCCCUGGGGACUUUGGUCCUUGCAGUGUCAUCUACAUUUCUGAAGGUGGCCUCUGCACUGGCCCUGAGGGAGGAACUUGGGGAUGCAGAAAUGUAAAGUUAUAGUGAGUCUCAAAAGAGAAGCACCCAUGAGCCACUGGCCAAACAAGCCCUCCUGGGCCACCAACUCAGGUCCUCAGCCCCUGCCCUGUCUGCAAAGAUGGACUCGAGGGCAAUGUACAAGGGCCAGAGAAACAGCCCUGCUCUCCUCCUCUAGUGCAGUCCCUAACUACUGUCCCUGUGUAAAUAUGGACACCCCAGACCAAGGUGUUGCUGUUUCCCCCUGGAGAUGGCCCAUGCUCUCCCUUGAACGUGAAUUCUUUUCUUUAUUCCAGAAGCUUCUCACCCUCAAGAUGGCCUGCAUUCUGCCUUGAACGUGUGUCUGCUGUCAUUAAUAAAUCAGUGUCUCUGACUGGUCCUCCACCCAGCAGCUUCAGGACCCGACUCCUUUCCCCAACCUCGAGAGUCGUCCUGGGGGCACUCCUUCCCUUAUCCUUCAAAUGACUAGAGCAUCCAUUGGAAUCAGGGCCUGUGAGAGACCUUAUGCUGUAGGACAUGACUAAGCUGCACUCUGAUUUCAGACCCAGAGAAACCAUGAGAUUUGAAAUAUGUGUAAGAUCCAUUGAGUCUUGUGGCAUUUGUUUUACAGAGUAGAUAAUAAGGUGGUCAUAGUGCGAGCAUUGAUGAUUUUGAGCUUUUUCC
rnacentral:lncRNA from 1 species